UGUCUCCUCCACCUCCUCCUAUGGUGGAUUAAGCCCGAACGUUGCGUUCGGGCUUUUUUUC
rfam:Burkholderia sp. lig30 ctg11, whole genome shotgun sequence.